GGUCCGACAGCACUCAUUGUUUUAUUCCAUUAAAUAGCCUCUCAAGUUUCAACAACUGCUAUAGUUCGACACGGAACUCCAGAAGAGGAAAAAUUUUAAGAGAGGGGGAGGAGAAAUAGGAAAGAUCAGUUGGCUUUGGAUUAAUUUGAGACCUCGUUAUAUGGUUGGUUGAUUGAAAUGGGGAGUAAUUUAAACUUCAAGAAUUUGGGAAAUGAUUCGCUGGAAGAAGGCAUUGGUGCUGGAAGGCUGCCUAAUAGUUUUUCCUUGACGCGACAGCCAUCAGUAUACUCAUUGACAUUUGAUGAGUUUCAGAGUAACAUGGGGAGUUUUGGUAAAGUCGGAUCAAUGAACAUGGAUGAGUUGCUAAAAAACAUUUGGAGUGCAGAGGAGAAUCAAAAUAUAGGGUCCAGUAAUGGAGGCAGUGGAGGAGGGGGAGGCCAAGAAGGGGGUGGCAAUUUGCAGAGGCAGGGAUCUUUGACGCUGCCGCGUACACUGAGUCAGAAGACGGUUGAAGAGGUUUGGAAGGAUUUAUCAAAGGAGUAUGGUGUUGGGAAGGAUGGGAGUGGUAGUGUUGAUGGCUUGAGUACGAUGCCUCAGAGGGAACCAACUCUGGGCGAGAUCACACUUGAGGAUUUCUUGGUGAAAGCCGGGGUUGUGAGGGAAGAUACUCAUUUGUCUGGAAAGCCUAAUGAUAUUGGUUUUUUUGGUAACUUGGCAUUUGCCGGGAAUAAUCUUGUUCCAGGAUUUGGAUAUCAAAAUGCAGAUGGGAAUGUUGGGGUGAUGGAUAAUAGAAUUCCAGAAAAUAGUAAUGAAGUGGCGGUGAGAUCUAUUGCACAUUCACAACAGAGUCAACAGCAGCAGCAGCCUCUACAGCAACAGAAACUUCUUCCCAAGCGACCUGUUUUGCCUUCUAGGUCUCCCUUGGGUCUAUCAAAUGGUGAUCAAUUUGGUGGUACCACAAUUAGGGGAGGGAUUGGUAGCGUUUCCAAUUCGGGAAUGAAUAAUAAUUUGGUCCAAAGUGCAACACUGCAGGGUGGAGGACUGGGAAUGGUUGGUUUAGGACCUGGGGUAGGAGGAGUUGCAACGGGAUCUCCAGUCAUUUCAUCAGAUGGGCUUGCGAAGAGUAAUGGAGAUGUGUCUUCUGUGUCACCAGUACCAUAUAUGUUUAAUGGUGGCUUGAGGGGUAGGAGAAGUGGUGCUUUGGAGAAGGUUGUAGAAAGGCGGCAGAAGAGAAUGAUCAAGAACAGAGAGUCAGCUGCAAGAUCGAGGGCUCGAAAGCAGAAUGGAUACUUUAUGCAGCAGAAUGCUAAUGUGAUAGCGAUCUAAUGUGUCAAGAGAUGAAUACACGUCUUGAGAAGUUUAAAGCUUCCAUUUGUUACGAGGCAUACACUAUGGAGUUGGAAGCAGAAGUUGCAAAUCUGAAGGAAGAUAACCAAGAAUUGCGGAAGAAACUGGAAGGAAUGAUGAAAAUGCAGAGGAAUCAGGUUCAGGAGAUGAUGAACCAAAAGCAUGGAAGUAAAAGACGAUGCUUGAGACGGACUCAGACAGGUCCAUGGUAAAGGGUGUUACCGGUUUGGUGGCUGAGGUUCGACGAGCAAGGGGCUGUAUAUACUGUAGAUUGAAAGUAACUCAAAUAAUGUUUUGCUUUUAGUUAGUGCUUCCGAGUACUAUACUUUUUUUGUAUUUGAGGUACAAAGAGAGAUCCUUGUGAAUUGCGGUCCAUCUUUUGAACACAGUAGAGGCAGGGAAGCUUGAGAAGGGUCAAUUAUCUAUACACUAUACUCUUUUGUAUAUUUGCUAGCUGAGAGCAUUAUGAAUCCUUUGGCCCCUUAAUAUGUUUAGAUUUUAUAUCAAUAUUUUAAAACCCAAACUGGAUAUUGAGCAGGGAAAAUAAAGGACGAUAUCUAUUAUUGUCUGGCUAGUCGGAGAGCUAGAUUCAUCUCCUAUUAUUUGUUUUUGAAUUUUUUGAAGAAAGGGAUUUUUCAAGGAUGCU